UACAGAGGUCUCAAGCGUUGUUCGGAUUCAUUGGGCGUAAAGGGUGCGUAGGCGGCGCGGUAAGUCGGGUGUGAAAUCUCGGAGCUUAACUCCGAAACUGCAUUCGAUACUGCCGUGCUUGAGGACUGGAGAGGAGACUGGAAUUACGGUGUAGCGGUGAAAAUGCGUAGAUAUCGUAAGGAAGACCAGUGGCGAAGGCGGGUCU
rnacentral:rRNA from 1 species